UCAGCGGCGGACGGGUGAGUAAUGCCUAGGAAUCUGCCUGGUAGUGGGGGACAACGUUUCGAAAGGAACGCUAAUACCGCAUACGUCCUACGGGAGAAAGCAGGGGACCUUCGGGCCUUGCGCUAUCAGAUGAGCCUAGGUCGGAUUAGCUAGUUGGUGAGGUAAUGGCUCACCAAGGCGACGAUCCGUAACUGGUCUGAGAGGAUGAUCAGUCACACUGGAACUGAGACACGGUCCAGACUCCUACGGGAGGCAGCAGUGG
rnacentral:rRNA from 1 species